rnacentral:lncRNA from 1 species
UCCACAACUCAUGAGCAUCCCGGAAUGGCAUGAGUUGAAAUAUAACUACAUUGCUCAAAGCAUCAAAAAGCACAUUAGAAGCUUGAGCAUUGAGAUAAGAGUUUUUCUCAUCCUCAAAAGAUAGAUUUUGGGAAUCCUUUGGAGGAGAAAAACCCAUAUCUACAAUUCACUCUAAAUUUGGGUCCAUGACCCUAAAGUGAUUAAG